rnacentral:rRNA from 1 species
GACGAACGCUGGCGGCGUGCCUAAUACAUGCAAGUCGAGCGAAAAGACCAGGUCCUGGCUCCUCUGACGGCAACGGGGGAAGGAACAGGAACACGUGGAUAACCUACCUAUAGGACAGGGCUAGCUACGGGAAACCGAAGCUAGUAACGACUAAUAUAUUGAACCGCAUGGUUCAAUAGUUAAAUACGGUGUUGCUGUCACUUAUAGAUGGAUCCGCGCCGCAUUAGCUAGUUGGUAAGGAGACGGCUUAACAAGGCAACGAUGCGUAGCCGACCUGAGAGGGUGAUCGGCCACCCGGGAGCUGAGACGCGGUCCCGACUCCUACGUGAGGCAGCGGUAGGGAACCUUCCGCAAUGAGCGAAAGGGUGACGUAGCAACGCCGCGUGAGUGAUGAGCAUCUUCGGCUCGUAGAACUCUGCUACUAGGGGGGAGCAAAUGUGUUACGAACUCUGCACGUCUUGACGGUACCUGAACAAAAAGCCCCGGCUAACUACGUG